AUUGAAAAAUAUUACACAGGAAUCACAAUGCAAUAUUGAAUCAGGGAUUUAAAAAAGGUUUUUAUUUUUUGGCUCUAUAAGAAAAUGGUGCGUCCGAGUAGACUCGAACUACCGACCCCUACCA
rnacentral:antisense_RNA from 1 species